rnacentral:misc_RNA from 1 species
GGCGACCUCUCUGCCAUUUGUGGUUCUCUUUGCUAUCUUGAUUCUCUUUCUCUUCAUUUCCCAUGCAAAUGCCACUGGUGGCUUCAACUCCACCUCCACUUUCUCUCGUUCGCCACCACCACCACCGUCACAAACGCUGCACUCAACUUCAAUACCACCUCCCCCGCCGCCGCCUACCAUCUCUAACGACCUCCAUGAAAACUCCUUCUCUCACACAGCUCUUCUCGCUCCAAUCCUUUCCCAUCUCGGCUUUAACGAGCUGUCCAUGGCUGCUCCUUCUCUCUCAUCCGACUCCUCGACCAACCCCUGGUCUGGCCCCUCCACAAUCUUUGCUCCCUCUGACUCUUCUCUCCACACGUGCUUAUCUUGCUCCAUUCCAAAUAUCCUUCGUGAACACAUUAUUCCUGGUCUUUACACCAUCGAUUAUCUCCGCAAGCUCGCCUUUGGCACUAAAAUAGAAACUCUAAGCCCUGGCCGUUGCCUCACAGUGACUUCCACUUCGAUAGAAAACGCAACCGCAUCAGCCACUGUGGAGAAGGUUUUCAUCGGUGGCGUGGAGAUAACGCACCCAGAUCUGUUCAACAACGGUCUGAUUGUAAUUCAUGGAAUUCAAGGCUUUGUCGCUCCUCUCUCUCCAUAUUCUUGCGAUGUGGAGAGAUUAAACUCGCUUUCGAUUCCGUUUUACAUGCCAGAUCGCUCGUCUCGCCAAAUUCACAACCAGCCUCUGGCGCAGCCUGCUAUCUUGCGCUUGAUGCUGCGUGAUGCCAUGCUCAGGCUCCGCAACAAUGGCUUUAGCAUCCUCUCUCUCGCUAUAAGAGUGAAAUACGCUGAGCUGGCGAGCUUAAACAACAUGACUGUUUUUGCUCUCGACGACGCUUCAAUCUUCUCUGGAUCUCACUCUUACAUUAGUAGCGUAAGGUUUCACAUGGUGCCCGAUCAUUUUUUGACGGCUACAGACCUGGAGAAGCUACCAGUGGGGGCCACACUGCCAACGCUUGAAAGAGGGCAGUCUCUGGUGGUUACCACUGCUGGUGGAGGAGGUACAGCAGCCUAUCCGAUGAGG